CAAUAGCGUAUAUUUAAGUUGUUGCAGUUAAAAAGCUCGUAGUUGGAUUUCGGUUGAGAACGGCCGGUCCGCCGUUUGGUGUGCACUGGCUGGUUUCAACUUCCUGUAGAGGACGCGCUCUGGCUUCACGGCUGGACGCGGAGUCUACGUGGUUACUUUGAAAAAAUUAGAGUGUUCAAAGCGGGCUUACGCUUGAAUAUUUCAGCAUGGAAUAACACUAUAGGACUCCUGUCCUAUUUCGUUGGUCUCGGGACGGGAGUAAUGAUUAAGAGGAACAGUUGGGGGCAUUCGUAUUUCAUUGUCAGAGGUGAAAUUCUUGGAUUUAUGAAAGACGAACUUCUGCGAAAGCAUUUGCCAAGGAUGUUUUUAUUAA
rnacentral:rRNA from 1 species